GCCCCAGUAGCUCAGUGGAUAGAGCGUCUGCCUCCGGAGCAGAAGGUCGCAGGUUCGAAUCCUGUCUGGGGCA
rnacentral:tRNA from 3 species